AUUGAUUUUAUGCUUGCAUAAAUGAUUUUUGGAUUCGGAGCGAGUGGCGAACUGGUGAGUAACACGUGGGUAACCUGCCCCGAAGCGGGGGAUAACAUUUGGAAACAAGUGCUAAUACCGCAUAAUUAGUUGGAACCGCAUGGUUCCAACUUGAAAGAUGGCUCUGCUAUCACUUUGGGAUGGACCCGCGCCGUAUUAGUUAGUUGGUGAGAUAAAAGCCCACCAAGACGAUGAUACGUAGCCGACCUGAGAGGGUAAUUGGCCACAUUGGGACUGAGACACGGCCCAGACUCCUACGGGAGGCAGCGGUAGGGAAUCUUCCACAAUGGACGAAAGUCUGAUGGAGCAACGCCGCGUGAGUGAUGAAGGUUUUCGGAUCGUAAAACUCUGUUGUUAAAGAAGAACAAGUGUUAGAGUAACUGUUAACACUUUGACGGUAUUUAACCAGAAAGCCACGGCUAACUACGUGCCAGCAGCCGCGGUAACACGUAGGUGGCAAGCGUUGUCCGGAUUUAUUGGGCGUAAAGCGAGCGCAGGCGGUUUUGUAAGUCUGCUGUGAAAGCCCUCAGCUCAACUGAGGAAGUGCAGUGGAAACUACAAAACUUGAGUACAGAAGAGGAAAGUGGAACUCCAUGUGUAGCGGUGAAAUGCGUACAUAUAUGGAAGAACACCAGUGGCGAAGGCGGCUUUCUGGUCUGUUACUGACGCUGAGGCUCGAAAGCAUGGGUAGCGAACAGGAUUAGAUACCCUGGUAGUCCAUGCCGUAAACGAUGAAUACUAGGUGUUGGAGGGUUUCCGCCCUUCAGUGCCGCAGCUAACGCAUUAAGUAUUCCGCCUGGGGAGUACGACCGCAAGGUUGAAACUCAAAGGAAUUGACGGGGGCCCGCACAAGUGGUGGAGCAUGUGGUUUAAUUCGAUGCUACGCGAAGAACCUUACCAGCUCUUGACAUCUUCUGCCAACCCAAGAGAUUGGGCGUUCCCUUCGGGGACAGGAUGACAGGUGGUGCAUGGUUGUCGUCAGCUCGUGUCGUGAGAUGUUGGGUUAAGUCCCGCAACGAGCGCAACCCUUAUUAUUAGUUGCCAGCAUUUAGUUGGGCACUCUAGUGAGACUGCCGGUGAUAAA
rnacentral:rRNA from 1 species